rnacentral:rRNA from 1 species
AGCGAACGCUGGCGGUAGGCCUAACACAUGCAAGUCGAACGGCAGCACAGUAAGAGCUUGCUCUUACGGGUGGCGAGUGGCGGACGGGUGAGGAAUACAUCGGAAUCUACUUUUUCGUGGGGGAUAACGUAGGGAAACUUACGCUAAUACCGCAUACGACCUACGGGUGAAAGCAGGGGAUCUUCGGACCUUGCGCUAUUGAAUGAGCCGAUGUCGGAUUAGCUAGUUGGCGGGGUAAAGGCCCACCAAGGCGACGAUCCGUAGAUGGUCUGAGAGGAUGAUCAGCAACACUGGAAAUGAGACACGGUCAAGACUCCGACGGGAGGAAGAAGUGGGGAAUAUUGGACAAUGGGCGCAAGCCUGAUCCAGCCAUACCGCGUGGGUGAAGAAGGCCUUCGGGUUGUAAAGCCCUUUUGUUGGGAAAGAAAAGCAGCAGGUUAAUAACCCGCUGUUCUGACGGUACCCAAAGAAUAAGCACCGGCUAACUUCGUG